GAUGAACGCUGGCGGCGUGCUUAACACAUGCAAGUCGAACGGUGAAGGCGGAGCUUGCUCUGCUGGAUCAGUGGCGAACGGGUGAGUAACACGUGAGCAAUCUGCCCCUGACUCUGGGAUAAGCGCUGGAAACGGCGUCUAAUACUGGAUACGAGCUGCGAAGGCAUCUUCAGCAGCUGGAAAGAACUUCGGUCAGGGAUGAGCUCGCGGCCUAUCAGCUUGUUGGUGAGGUAACGGCUCACCAAGGCGUCGACGGGUAGCCGGCCUGAGAGGGUGACCGGCCACACUGGGACUGAGACACGGCCCAGACUCCUACGGGAGGCAGCAGUGGGGAAUAUUGCACAAUGGGCGAAAGCCUGAUGCAGCAACGCCGCGUGAGGGACGACGGCCUUCGGGUUGUAAACCUCUUUUAGCAAGGAAGAAGCGAAAGUGACGGUACCUGCAGAAAAAGCGCCGGCUAACUACGUG
rnacentral:rRNA from 1 species